rnacentral:rRNA from 1 species
UACGGAGGGUGCAAGCGUUAAUCGGAAUUACUGGGCGUAAAGCGCACGCAGGCGGUUAAUUAAGUUGGAUGUGAAAUCCCCGGGCUUAACCUGGGAACUGCAUUCAAGACUGGUUAGCUAGAGUCUCGUAGAGGGGGGUAGAAUUCCACGUGUAGCGGUGAAAUGCGUAGAGAUGUGGAGGAAUACCGGUGGCGAAGGCGGCCCCCUGGACGAAGACUGACGCUCAGGUGCGAAAGCGUGGGGAGCAAACAGG